rnacentral:rRNA from 1 species
ACGUGAAACCUUGUGGGAAGCAGGGAGGACCACCUCCCAAGGCUAAAUACUACCUGAUGACCGAUAGUGAAGCAGUACCGUGAGGGAAAGGUGAAAAGAACCCCGGGAGGGGAGUGAAAUAGAACCUGAAACCGUGUGCCUACAACCGCUCAGAGCCCCUUAUGAGGGUGAUGAGGUGCUUUUUGUAGAACGAGCCAACGAGUUACGGUAUGUAGCAAGGUUAAGUACUUAAGGUACGGAGCCGAAGGGAAACCGAGUCUGAAUAGGGCGACUAGUUGCAUGCCGUAGACCCGAAACCGGGUGACCUAUCCAUGGCCAGGUUGAAGCGAGGGUAAAACCUCGUGGAGGACCGAACCACGUUGCUGUUGAAAAAGCAUGGGAUGAGCUGUGGAUAGCGGAGAAAUUCCAAUCGAACCCGGAGAUAGCUGGUUCUCUCCGAAAUAGCUUUAGGGCUAGCGUCGAGUAUGAGUAGUGGAGGUAGAGCACUGAAUGGGCUAGGGGGCAUAGCGCUUACCGAACCUUAUCAAACUCCGAAUGCCACAUACUUUGAGCUCGGCAGUCAGACUACGAAUGAUAAGAUCCGUGGUCAAAAGGGAAACAGCCCAGAUCGUCAGCUAAGGUCCCAAAGUGUAAGUUAAGUGGGAAAGGAUGUGAGAUUUCUAAGACAACUAGGAUGUUGGCUUAGAAGCAGCCAUUCAUUAAAAGAGUGCGUAAUAGCUCACUAGUCGAGAGAUCUUGCGCCGAAAAUGUAACGGGGCUAAACUUACCACCGAAGCUACGGGCUUGAACUUAGUUCAAGCGGUAGGAGAGCGUCGUAACCGGGCUGAAGUCGUACCGUAAGGAGCGGUGGACUGGUUACGAGUGAGAAUGUUGGCAUCAGUAGCGAGAUGUGGGUGAGAAUCCCACAGGCCGAAAACCUAAGGUUUCCUCAGGAAGGUUCGUCCGCUGAGGGUUAGUCGGGACCUAAGCCGAGGCCGAAAGGCGUAGGUGAUGGACAACUGGUUGAUAUUCCAGUACCACUACCAUCGUUAUUAUCGAUGGCGUGACGCAGGAGGAUAGUGUGUGCUAGCUAUUGGAUGCUAGUCUAAGCGUUUAGGCAGUGAGAGUAGGCAAAUCCGCUCUCAUAAUGCUGAGGCGUGAUGGGGAAGGUUCUACGGAACCGAAGUACAUGAUUCCACGCUGCCAAGAAAAGCGUCUAGAGAGAGAAGUAGUGCCCGUACCGCAAACCGACACAGGUAGGUGAGGAGAGAAUCCUAAGGCCGGCGGAAGAAUUACAGUUAAGGAACUCGGCAAAUUGACCCCGUAAGUUCGCGAGAAGGGGUGCCUACGAGAGUAGGCCGCAGAGAAUAGGCCCAAGCAACUGUUUAGCAAAAACACAGGUCUCUGCUAAAGCGUAAGCUGAUGUAUAGGGGCUGACGCCUGCCCGGUGCUGGAAGGUUAAGGGGAACACUUAGCGCAAGCGAAGGUGUGAACUUAAGCCCCAGUAAACGGCGGCCGUAACUAUAACGGUCCUAAGGUAGCGAAAUUCCUUGUCAGGUAAGUUCUGACCCGCACGAAUGGCGUAAUGACUUGGGCACUGUCUCAACUGUAAAUCCGGCGAAGUUGUAGUGCGAGUGAAGAUGCUCGCUACCCGCGAUUGGACGGAAAGACCCCGUAGAGCUUUACUGUAGCUUAGCAUUGAGUUUUGGUAUUGUCUGUACAGGAUAGGUGGGAGACUAGGAAACCAGGGCGUCAGCCUUGGUGGAGUCAACCUUGGGAUACCACCCUGACAGUACUGAAAUUCUAACUGGCGGCCAUGAAUCUGGUCACAGGACAUUGUUAGGUGGGCAGUUUGACUGGGGCGGUCGCCUCCUAAAAAGUAACGGAGGCGCCCAAAGGUUCCCUCAGAACGGUCGGAAAUCGUUCGAAGAGUGCAAAGGCAGAAGGGAGCCUGACUGCGACACCCACAAGUGGAGCAGGGACGAAAGUCGGGCUUAGUGAUCCGGUGGUACCUCGUGGGAGGGCCAUCGCUCAACGGAUAAAAGCUACCUCGGGGAUAACAGGCUGAUCUCCCCCAAGAGUCCACAUCGACGGGGAGGUUUGGCACCUCGAUGUCGGCUCGUCGCAUCCUGGGGCUGAAGUAGGUCCCAAGGGUUGGGCUGUUCGCCCAUUAAAGCGGCACGCGAGCUGGGUUCAGAACGUCGUGAGACAGUUCGGUCCCUAUCCGUCGCGGGCGUAGGAAAUUUGAGAGGAGCUGUCCUUAGUACGAGAGGACCGGGAUGGACUGACCUCUGGUGUACCAGUUGUUCCGCCAGGAGCACAGCUGGGUAGCUAAGUCGGGAAUGGAUAAACGCUGAAAGCAUCUAAGCGUGAAGCCAACCU